GCAGCAGUGGGGAAUAUUGGACAAUGGGCGCAAGCCUGAUCCAGCCAUGCCGCGUGUGUGAAGAAGGCCUUCGGGUUGUAAAGCACUUUUGUUGGGGAAGAAAAGCACUGGGUUAAUACCCUGGUGUUCUGACGGUACCCAAAGAAUAAGCACCGGCUAACUUCGUGCCAGCAGCCGCGGUAAUACGAAGGGUGCAAGCGUUACUCGGAAUUACUGGGCGUAAAGCGUGCGUAGGUGGUUCGUUAAGUCUGUCGUGAAAGCCCCGGGCUCAACCUGGGAAUGGCGAUGGAUACUGGCGGGCUAGAGUGCGGUAGAGGAGAGUGGAAUUCCCGGUGUAGCAGUGAAAUGCGUAGAGAUCGGGAGGAACAUCAGUUGCGAAGGCGGCUCUCUGGACCAGCACUGACACUGAGGCACGAAAGCGUGGGGAGCAAACAGGAUUAGAUAC
rnacentral:rRNA from 1 species